rnacentral:tRNA from 1 species
UGGCCCGUGGUGUAACGGUAGCACACCGGUUUUUGGUGCCGUUGGUCCAGGUUCGAAUCCUGGCGGGCCAG